rnacentral:misc_RNA from 1 species
GAGGAUUCAGUCGAGGUUGUAAUUGAGAAAUUGCUCAACGUAACCAAGGACGUUUCUCCAAAAGUCUCAAAUGAAGCUGAGCAUUGUUUAACUACGGUGUUGUCUCAGUAUGAUUCAUUUAGAUGCUUAAGUGUUGUUGUUCCUUUGCUUGUCACGGAAGACGAGAAGACUCUUGUAACCUGUAUUAACUGUUUGACAAAGCUUGUGGGGAGGUUCUCCCAGGAAGAACUGAUGUCUCAGCUAUCUUCAUUCUUACCUGCCCUGUUUGAUGCCUUUGGAAACCAGAGUGCAGAUGUU